rnacentral:piRNA from 1 species
UUCCCAACAAGGAAGUGCCACCCCA